GCGUGCGCUAAACCCGCCUUGACUUCAGCCGCUGCUUUUCUCCCAGCCUUUUCCAGGGUGAGAGGGGCAGAGCCACACUCAGGAUGUCCCUCCCGUCCUUGGAUGGAUGCUCGGCCCCACGGGAUGCGAUUUUUGGGGUUUUUACCAAGUCUGGGCUGCAAGAUGCUCCUGGGAAACAGUUUGGGGCUGAUUUGAUGGAAUUGAUGCUGAUUCAAAGCUCCCAAAUGCACCAGCUGCUGAUGCACGGCCUGGCCAUGGCAGCUUUGAUGCCCCUUGGUGUGGGGCCAGCCCCAGCCCCAGCCCAGGUGAGGCUCAGGGGUGCUGGGUGGGCAGAGGAACCUUCCCAGGGCUGUUCAAGAGUGGGAUCACCACACCCUGCUUUGGGACUCUCUGGAUGCAGCACUUGGGUGGUCCCAGCCCAGCUCAGAGCAGCCCUUUGGGGUUUUGGGGCUCUCUGUGGUGGUUUGAACCCCGGCUCUGACAGCUCAGACCCCAUCCAGGCCCUCCGGCAGAGCUUUAGCCCAGCUGGGAAGAGCCAGGACCCUCUGGAAGUGCAGCCCAGCCAGGCAGGAAGGCUCUGCAGGGGCCACCAUUGAAAAAUCCAUCUCGAACCAAAACCAUAUGAAACAUUUGAUCUCCUUGGGGGGAACAAUGCUGCUUUUGGGGCAGGGCUGGGCUGUGGCAGCUGCUGAGCUCGCUGCCAGCUGGCACCUCUCAGCACUCACCCCUGCCCUCCCAGUGCCACCAGUACAGGGCUGGCCAGGACUGGACCCUGCCCCCUCAGACGGGUCUCAGAUCAAACGGGCUCUUCCCACGGGCCUCUGGUCCCAUCUGUGGGGCCGCCACCCCCCGUGUCCCCAACAAUGUUCCCCCGGGACCGAGUGGGACCGAGUGGGACAGGUGUGAUCCACGGGCAGCGGCGCUUCUGGGGGUCCUGGAGCCCGGCCCAGCCUCUGUCCCUCCCGCAGGCGCUGCCGGGGCCUCCGCAGGGCGAGGAGGAAGAGGAGGCCGUGGU
rnacentral:lncRNA from 1 species